UACGUAGGGUGCAAGCGUUAAUCGGAAUUACUGGGCGUAAAGCGUGCGCAGGCGGCUAUGCAAGACAGAUGUGAAAUCCCCGGGCUCAACCUGGGAACUGCAUUUGUGACUGCAUGGCUAGAGUACGGUAGAGGGGGAUGGAAUUCCGCGUGUAGCAGUGAAAUGCGUAGAUAUGCGGAGGAACACCGAUGGCGAAGGCAAUCCCCUGGACCUGUACUGACGCUCAUGCACGACAGCGUGGGGAUCAAACAGG
rnacentral:rRNA from 1 species